rnacentral:pre_miRNA from 1 species
GUCCAGUUUUCCCAGGAAUCCCUUGGAUGCUAAGAUGGGGAUUCCUGGAAAUACUGUUCUU